rnacentral:misc_RNA from 1 species
GAUGAAGAACGCAGCGAAAUGCGAUAAUUAAUGUGAAUUGCAGAAUUCAGUGAAUCAUCGAAUCUUUGAACGCACAUUGCGCCCUUUGGUAUUCCUUAGGGCAUGCCUGUUCGAGCGUCAUUUAAACCUUCAAGCUAAGCUUGGUGUUGGGUGACUGUCCGCUUCACGGCGGACUCGCCUCAAAAUUAUUGGCGGCCGGUACAUUGGCUUCGAGCGCAGCAGAAACGCGAACUCGGGCCCGUCGUAUUGGCUCCCAGAAGCUAUCUUCACAAUUUUGACCUCGGAUCAGGUAGGGAUACCCGCUGAACUUAAGCAUAUCAAUAAGCGGAGGA